rnacentral:sRNA from 1 species
CCGACUGCAACUGCUGGAUUGCUGCAAGGCUGAGGGACGAGAACGAGGCUGGCAAACAUUCAGCAGCACACCCUCUCAAGAUUGUUUACUUGCCUUUGCUCCUGUUGAGUUACGACGCUUGGAAGCAGGAGAUGGGCUCAGCAUCAGCCAAUAGGACAUGAUCCAGGAAGAGCAGUAAGGGACUGAGCUGCUGGUAAGACAGUAGAGACAGUUGACGCUUGUUUGUCAAGUAUGAAUUUAUUCCUAAUUUAAUGGUUAAUUUCUGUCCCAAACUUCAACUCCAAGUUACCCUGCACCCUCUCAAAUACUUUUCUUUAUUGUCUAUGCUUAGGACACAUGGAUUAGAUUGUUAAGAUUUGUGAAUUUACUGAAGUUGUGUGCUGACUUAUGUA